AGUGAACGCUGGCGGUAGGCCUAACACAUGCAAGUCGAACGGCAGCACAGUAAGAGCUUGCUCUUACGGGUGGCGAGUGGCGUACGGGUGCGGAAUACAUCGGAAUCUACUUUUUCGUGGGGGAUAACGUAGGGAAACUUACGCUAAUACCGCAUAAGACCUACGGGUGAAAGUAGGGGAUCUUCGGACCUUGCGCGAUUGAAUGAGCCGAUGUCGGAUUAGCUAGUUGGCGGGGUAAAGGCCCACCAAGGCGACGAUCCGUAGCUGGUCUGAGAGGAUGAUCAGCCACACUGGAACUGAGACACGGUCCAGACUCCUACGGGAGGCAGCAGUGGGGAAUAUUGGACAAUGGGCGCAAGCCUGAUCCAGUCAUACCGCGUGGGUGAAGAAGGCCUUCGGGUUGUAAAGCCCUUUUGUUGGGAAAGAAAAGCAGCAGGUUAAUACCCCGCUGUUCUGACGGUACCCAAAGAAUAAGCACCGGCUAACUUCGUG
rnacentral:rRNA from 1 species